AUUGAACGCUGGCGGCAUGCCUUACACAUGCAAGUCGAACGGCAGCACGGGAGCAAUCCUGGUGGCGAGUGGCGAACGGGUGAGUAAUAUAUCGGAACGUGCCCAGUCGUGGGGAUAACGUAGCGAAAGCUACGCUAAUACCGCAUACGAUCUAUGGAUGAAAGCGGGGGAUCGCAAGACCUCGCGCGAUUGGAGCGGCCGAUAUCAGAUUAGGUAGUUGGUGAGGUAAAGGCUCACCAAGCCGACGAUCUGUAGCUGGUCUGAGAGGACGACC
rnacentral:rRNA from 1 species